rnacentral:rRNA from 1 species
UCUAGAGGCUUCGUCAAUGGGGGCAACCCUGAACGAGCGACGCCGCGUGCGGGAUGAAGGGUUUCGGCUUGUAAACCGCUUUUGUUGGGGACGAAUGUUCCGGUCGUGAACCGGGAUUUGACGGUACUCGGCGAAUAAGCCCCGGCUAACUCCGUGCCAGCAGCCGCGGUAAGACGGAGGGGGCAAGCGUUGUUCGGAAUUAUUGGGCGUAAAGGGCUUGUAGGCGGACAGGUUAGUCUGGCGUGAAAUCUCCACCGCUCACCGGGGAGGGGCCGCUGGAAACUGCCUGUCUGGAGUUCGGUAGAGGGUCAUGGAAUUCCGCAUGUAGCGGUGGAAUGCGUAGAUAUGCGGAAGAACACCUGUGGCGAAGGCGGUGGCCUGGGCCGAAACUGACGCUGAGGAGCGAAAGCUAGGGGAGCAAACG